rnacentral:rRNA from 1 species
UACGUGGGGUGCGAGCGUUGUUCGGAAUUACUGGGCGUAAAGCGCGUGUAGGCGGCCUAUUAGGUCGGGUGUGAAAGCCCUCGGCCUAACCGAGGAAGUGCGCCUGAAACUGCUAGGCUUGAGUACGAGAGAGGAGGACGGAAUUCCCAGUGUAGAGGUGAAAUUCGUAGAUAUUGGGAGGAACACCGGCGGCGAAAGCGGUUCUCUGGAUCGAUACUGACGCUAAGACGCGAAAGCGUGGGGAGCACACAGG